AAAAGGAGCAAAAGCUGGAAACCCCCAUUAGAGGCUCACGGCCAGCCAUAGCAAAAAUCACCUUCCAUUUCUUGUCCUUCAAAAAAUUAUUUUGUUGAUGCAAACCCGUUAUUUUGAGGUCCCUAAGUAGCGUGGAAGCAUCGUUGGAGCGAUCAAACCAUCAUUUUUCAUCUUUUGGAAACCCUAGGCUAUUGGAAAGUUGAAGAAGAAAGAUCGUGGGCAGCCCGAAGCCUAGUUUGGACUUAGCUUGAGUUGGAUCAUAUUGGAGAGCGUUUGAGGUACAGACGCACAGCCUGGGGAUCCACCUGUUUAGGACACCCCCUUCUGCUAUUCGGAGUGCUCCUCUCAUUCCGGAGCUUAUAUUUUUGGUAUAUAUAUUGUUAGUGCAUUUAUAUAUAUUCGUUCAUGGGUACAGCGGAGCCCUGUCCCGUCAUAUGAUUCUGUCGGUUUGUUUAGAGGUCUGUGGACAUGUUUGUGGGUUAGGGUCUUUCUGUACGGAUGCGUGUAUAUGUUGUGUUUGGGCGAUCCCAUUCGCCGCGGCGGCCGGUCCGCAUAUGUUUACAUGUUGCUUUGUUGGCCGGUGUGGCUUUUGUUGGUAUUUUCUGUGCGCAGGGUUAUUUUGGAUAGUCUGUAAAACAAAGGAAACUCUGCCGAAA